AGGUAGCAUUCAAAGAAAACAAUACUACAUGAUUGACACAUCCAGAGAACUGAGAGCCUGAGAGACAGAAGAUAGACAUAUGAGAUUUUAGGAGGAGAAUGAUCACUGUGAUGUGAAUGCCAUGAGUCUUCGUGCCAUUUCCAUGUUCUUCUGGGACCUGUGCAGACCCUGCACCUACAGCUGGAUUGGGUUCUUCAUUAACUUGUAUCUCUGGGACUCCCAGGAUCCAUCAGAUUUUCUGGCCCCCCUAGAUUUUCUGGAGCCACUUCACUUGAUGCCAUCAGACUGAAAGACAGGGUCUCACUAAGUUGCAGAGGCUGGCCUUGAACUCUGGAUCCUUCUGCCUCAGCGUGGGAUUACAGGUGUGCGCCACCAGGACCUGCUUCGAUCUUAAGUUCUUAAAAUGAAGGAGAAAGAGAGAUGGCAGAAUACCACAGGCCAGUUUAACCCAGCUUGGUUACCACCCUGUCCUUUGUCAAAGCCCAUUUCUUCAAUGGAUCCUCCUGCCUCCUCCUUAGGAGAGUAACGAAAGCACCAUCCCAAACAAUCUGACAUCACUCUUCAAUUUAACACCCUAUUGCAACUACUCCAUGAGUCACCUGAGAAUCUUCAGGGCAACAACAACAACAAAAUAACAGGGGUUAAAUGCAUGGAGGCAGAACACACGGAUACAGAGGGCUGACUGUACCUCAUUUUGUCCCAAUUUCGUUCAUAUUUAGCAAGAAAAUUCCGAAACCCAAAGGACCGAAUCUGAUAUUCUUAAGAGUUCACUGACUUACUCAUUCAAUCUCCUUUUACCUGUCAAUCUCCUGUAAUGUGAUCAUGAUAGUCUUUGGUGGAAAAGUCUAUUCUGCUUCCUUUAUCUAUGAAGAGACUGAUCCCACCCAUAGCCAUGGAGAUGUGUCCAUGACCCACACUGGACAAAUUAGAGCUCAGCAUCAUCUGUCCAUAGGGUGAAAUCCAAGUCAAGCACAUCUUCCACCCCAGCCAACCAGAACCCUUUUACUGCCAUUUUUCAAACUAAAGUUGGAAUUAAGAAGGCUCCUUAUUACUGCAAUAGGAGUUAAGCACUGUCUCUGGCCCCAGUGCCAAUUCAUUGAAAAUGGAAAGAGAACAAGCUGACUGGACUUCUGUGGAUUCCUGGUUUCUACUUGCUGGUGGCAUGACCUAAUAAAUCUCUUUUUUCCC